UCAGGGGUAAACGGGAGAAAUCCUGAAUUCGAAAGGGGCCGGAUUCAAGUCCAUCCUGAUUGUUCAGGCCGCUCGGCCCCGCCAGAUGGUGCCGGUCGCCCGCGGCGAUUCAUUUCGCUUGCGGUGUCGUUCCCGGUGCUCACUCGGCGGGGUGGCGUUGCUCUGGCAUCGGAGGAGUGCACUUCCACCCUAGUAGAAACGUCGCGACCCGUUGGGUGCCGGUCUAAGGCCCGGGAUGGCAGACCACGUGUCCUGCGGGGGCUCUCGCAGGCGCGCGGACUCCUGGUGUCCCGGCCGGCUGCCCGACGGUAAGACCAGAGGGGUCGAUCCGCUACUUGGGAAACACUGUGGUGUGUAGCGUCCGGCCCGGUGCCGACACGUGCGGGGAUUAAGGUGCAAGCCGUGGGUGUCCGUGCGAAGCACGGCCCCUGCCCCGCCGCGUCGUCGGAUUUGCCGGUGUCCUCGGACUGGAUCGCAACCCCCGUCUGCGACGCCCACCUUCGGAUGGUCUCCCGACCCGUCUUGAAACACGGACCAAGGAGUCUAACAUGUGCGCGAGUCAUUGGGUGGCACUAAACCUAAAGGCGCAAUGAAAGUGAAGGCUGCUUUUGUGUGGGCGGCCGAGGGAAGAUGGUACUGGGUACCCGGGGGCCUCGCGUUCCCGGGCCCGGCCCGCAUUCCCGGGGCGUCUCGUCCUCACUGCGAGGGGAGGCGCACCCAGAGCGUACACGUUGGGACC
rnacentral:rRNA from 1 species